rnacentral:sRNA from 1 species
GUUAGCGGCGUCUCAGUUGCCAUGGAGACCAGGAGCUCCAAAACGCGGAGGUCUUUAGCGUCCCGGACCAACGAGUGCCAGGGCACAAUGUGGGCGCCAACUUCGCCACCAGCCGGGUCCAGCAGCCCCAGCCAGCCCACCUGGAAGUCCUCCUUGUAUUCCUCCCUCGCCUACUCUGAGGGCUUCCACUACAGCUUCGCAGCCCGGCCCCGCCGCCUCACGCAGCUUGCGCUGGCGCCGCGUUCCGAGCCUCAGCGGCUUCGUCUGCGCCCCUCCUCGCUGCGCACCCAAGAUAUCUCGCACUUGCUCACUGGCGUCUUCCGCAACUUGUACUCUGCUGAGGUCAUCGGCGACGAAGUGAGCGCAAGCUUGAUCAAGGCCCGCGGCAGCGAGAAUGAGCGCCACGAGGAGUUCGUGGACCAGCUGCAGCAGAUUCGGGAGCUCUAUAAGCAGCGGCUGGAUGAGUUUGAAAUGUUGGAGAGGCAUAUCACUCAGGCCCAAGCACGGGCUAUUGCGGAAAACGAGCGGGUCAUGAGCCAGGCUGGAGUACAGGACCUUGAGAGCCUUGUCAGGUUGCCUCCAGUGAAGAGUGUCUUCAGAUGGUGUAUAGACAACGAGUUGCUACGGAAACAUCAUUUGAUCUCCCCAGAAGAUUACUACACCGAUACAGUGCCGUUUCACUCUGCACCUAAAGGCAUCUCCCUACCUGGAUGUUCAAAACUGACAUUUAGCUGUGAGAAGCGUUCCGUCCAGAAGAAAGAGCUGAACAGGAAGCUUGAAGAUUCAUGCAGGAAGAAGCUUGCUGAGUUUGAAGAUGAGUUAGACCACACUGUGGACAGCCUGACAUGGAAUUUAACUCCUAAGGCCAAAGAAAGGACCAGAGAACCUCUCAAGAAAGCAAGUCAACCAAGGAAUAAAAACUGGAUGAACCACUUACGUGUGCCACAAAGAGAACUAGACAGACUUCUGCUUGCCAGAAUGGAGAGUCGGAACCACUUCCUAAAAAAUCCCCGUUUUUUCCCUCCUAACACUCCAUAUGGAGGCAAGUCUCUUGUUUUUCCUCCAAAGAAGCCAGCACUGAUAGGAGAAUUCCAGAGUGCAGAGCCAGAACAGAGUUGUGCUGAUACUCCAGUGUUUCUAGCUAAGCCACCAAUUGGGUUUUUCACAGAUUAUGAAAUUGGUCCAGUUUAUGAGAUGGUAAUUGCGCUGCAGAACACCACCACGACCAGCCGCUACCUGCGAGUCCUCCCGCCUUCCACGCCAUACUUUGCUCUAGGACUGGGGAUGUUCCCAGGAAAAGGUGGAAUGGUGGCUCCUGGAAUGACCUGCCAGUACAUUGUCCAGUUUUUUCCCGACUGCCUUGGGGAUUUUGAUGAUUUUAUUUUAGUGGAGACCCAGUCAGCCCACACACUUCUGAUCCCCCUGCAGGCCCGGAGGCCGCCCCCCGUGCUGACAUUGUCACCGGUGUUGGACUGUGGUUACUGCCUCAUUGGGGGAGUCAAGAUGACCAGAUUCAUCUGCAAAAAUGUGGGUUUCAGUGUUGGCAGGUUCUGCAUUAUGCCCAAAACAAGCUGGCCACCACUAAGUUUCAAGGCCAUUGCAACCGUCGGCUUUGUUGAACAACCUCCUUUUGGAAUCCUGCCUUCGGUGUUUGAGCUGGCCCCGGGACAUGCUAUAUUAGUGGAGGUCUUGUUUUCCCCAAAGAGCCCAGGAAAGGCAGAGCAGACCUUCAUCAUCAUGUGCGACAACUGCCAGAUAAAGGAGCUGGUGACCAUAGGAAUUGGGCAGCUGAUUGCUUUGGAUCUGAUCUAUAUUUCUGGUGAAAAAAGCCAACCAGACCCUGGAGAGCUCACAGACUUAACAGCCCAGCACUUCAUACGAUUUGAGCCUGAAAACCUUCGGUCCACGGCUAGGAAGCAGCUGAUUAUUAGAAAUGCUACGCACGUGGAGCUGGCCUUCUACUGGCAGAUUAUGAAGCCCAACCUGCAGCCCCUCAUGCCUGGAGAAACCUUCAGCAUGGACAGCAUCAAGUGCCACCCUGACAAGGAGACCGCCUUCUCCAUCAUGCCCAGAAAGGGGGUUCUCAGCCCCCACACAGACCACGAGUUCAUCCUGAGCUUUUCUCCUCAUGAGGUUCAGAUGGUGUCAUCUCAGUAGCCACACAUGGUUGGAUCAUGUAUUUAGACCCCCCACCUGUGUUCUUUAAUCACACUGAAGCCACAGCUGGGCCCACCGAGGUGCCAUCCUGCCCAGGCCAGCACUUGGCUGAGUUGGGUUGGAGUACACACCUGGUGUGCGGGGCGAAGCAGCUCAUUUUGUCUGGUCUUGAUCCCAGACUCAACCCGUCUGCAGCAAGACCCUUGGCCGGCUUCCUCAGCUCUGGGUGUCUCCCACAUGUCUACUAUGGCAAAAAAACAUUACCAUCCCCACCCCUACCACAGCAGCCCCUAGAGAGAGUGAGGUGCAGGGACCUGAGGGCCAGGUUAGCACAGCGCUAACCUGUGGGCCACGGUUAGGCUAGAAGGGAAUUCGAGCUGGGCAUGAAAAGGAUGCUCCGGGGCCAUUGUUAGUGGGUUUGGGGCUGAGAUGAGUGAUCCUGCCUCUGGUCCCAGCAUCCAGCUGCCUCGUUGUCUGUCCUGGGAGGGUGUGGUGCUUCAGACAUGUUGAGGGGCUUUGUCAGCAUCAGGAAGGCCUUUCCUUUGCUUCUUGCCCCCAGGCCCAGCUGAGACAGGCCCCUGAGUCCUGGCUUAUGUUCUGGAAGCAACUUCACUUUUCCUAAGAAGGGGAGGAGGCAGCAGGGAAGCAUCCCUGGGUUUUCAGAAGGUCCUUCUGGUGGCUAGGCUAAGGGGAGGAAGAAUUCCCGCCAUGCCCCAGCCUUCUCCAGGACAACCUGCUGGAACGCAGUGGUGUUUUCAGGUCACUGUGUUUGCCUUGCAGCUGAGGGAUUUUCACAGUGUGCUCCAGAUGGUGCUAGAGGAAGUCCCAGAGCCUGUAAGUUCAGAAGCAGAGAGCCUGGGGCACUCCUCCUACUCUGUGGAUGAUGUAAUCGUCCUGGAAAUUGAGGUGAAAGGCUCAGUAGAACCUUUCCAGGUUCUCUUAGAGCCAUAUGCCCUCAUCAUCCCAGGGGAGAACUACAUUGGGAUAAAUGUGAAGAAGGCUUUUAAGAUGUGGAACAACAGCAAGUCACCCAUCAGAUACCUGUGGGGGAAGAUCAGCGACUGCCACAUCAUUGAAGUGGAGCCCGGCACGGGGGUCAUAGAGCCCAGUGAGGUUGGGGAUUUUGAGUUGAACUUUACUGGGGGUGUCCCUGGCCCCACAAGCCAGGACCUGCUGUGUGAAAUUGAAGACUCGCCCUCGCCAGUGGUGUUACACAUUGAGGCAGUCUUUAAGGGUCCUGCCCUCAUCAUCAACGUCUCAGCCCUUCAGUUUGGUCUGCUCCGCCUGG